GGAAGGCCUUUGGUUCAGUUGUAGAGCACGGGCUUUGCAUGCAGGAGGCCCCAGGUUCAAUCCCUGGCACCUCCA
rnacentral:tRNA from 1 species